GAGUUUGAUCAUGGCUCAGAACGAACGCUGGCGGAAUGCUUUACACAUGCAAGUCGAGCGGCAGCGCGGGGCAACCUGGCGGCGAGCGGCGAACGGGUGAGUAAUGCAUCGGAACGUGUCCAUGUCGUGGGGGAUAGCCCGGCGAAAGCCGGAUUAAUACCGCAUACGCCCGAGAGGGGAAAGUGGGGGACCGCAAGGCCUCACGCGAUUGGGUCGGCCGAUGUCCGAUUAGCUAGUUGGCGGGGUAAAGGCCCACCAAGGCGAUGAUCGGUAGCUGGUCUGAGAGGAUGAUCAGCCACACUGGGACUGAGACACGGCCCAGACUCCUAC
rnacentral:rRNA from 1 species